rnacentral:rRNA from 1 species
UACGUAGGUGGCAAGCGUUAUCCGGAAUUAUUGGGCGUAAAGCGCGCGCAGGUGGUUUCUUAAGUCUGAUGUGAAAGCCCACGGCUCAACCGUGGAGGGUCAUUGGAAACUGGGAGACUUGAGUGCAGAAGAGGAAAGUGGAAUUCCAUGUGUAGCGGUGAAAUGCGUAGAGAAUAUGGAGGAACACCAGUGGCGAAGGCGACUUCUGGUCUGCGACUGACGCUGUGGCGCGAAAGCUAGGGGAGCAAACGGGG